rnacentral:lncRNA from 1 species
GGACCCAGGGACUGGGAGGCCGGUUGGGGCUGGGCUCAGGGGCCGAGACCUAGCUGGGCUUGGGGCGGGGCCGAGACGGAGCGAGGGGUCCAGGGUGUGGGAAACGGGGAGGGGUUUGAGGAGGGGAUCGGAAUGUGGCUCAAGUUCGGGAGGCGUUACCUGCGGAGGGUUUGAGGCAGGCCCAAGAGCGAGCCCAUGGUCUUCCGACGCGGGGCCAGGGGCGGGCCCCAGGAUCCGGAGCUUCGUGCGGGGCCGAGUCCAGGUUUGGGGCCCGGGAGGCGGGGCCAGUUAGGGCGACUGUCCCUGGGAUCGUCGGGUCAGGCCUUGGGCUAACGUAGGCACUCUCGCAGUUCCUCCGCCUUCAGGAAGGUCUUUUCAGCAGGGGCCUUACGGGUGCAUGCUUCGGUCCUGGAGGCCUUAUCCUAGCCUCCUCUCCAUCAGCGCCACCCGUCUGGGGCCCGAAAGGAGGGAGCUUUCCCUCUGUCCCCCAGCCUUUGGACUGUCACCAAACAAGCCAUUCGUUCAUCAAAUACUUUUUAAGCGCCUACCAUGUGCCUGACAAGGGAGAUGUAACGGUGAGAAAAACUAGGUGUGGUCCAGGCCCUUCAGGGGCUCAGGUGCUCGUGGAAGAAGUGGACAUUGAAGUACUUAUCACACAAAUGAGGAUAAAAGUACGAUAGCGAUAUCUACCACGAAGCUGUUGUUCCCCACCAGAACCAAAUGAGCGCAAGAUCUGACAAAGAAAAAAAAAGGUUCAUCUUUUAUUCCUCCAAACACUUUCAUUUAAAUCAAGAGGAUGGGAUGUGGUUAUUGCUGUGUUUUUAGACAGAAUCAACGGUUUCUGGGUCUGAGAUGUUGCAUACACCUUCUCAGUCCCUGUAUCCUGAGAUGGAGUCACCUGAGAAUCCACAGCAAGUCCUAACCAGGGAUGGGUCUGGGUGAUUAAGGAAGGUUGGCUUCAGAACUGGGCCAGGGGCACUGCUUUGCUUUUGCUGUUUUGAUCAGCUCUCUGCCUGAAGGAGACAAGAAAAACCAACGGGAACAGCCCAGUAAAGGCGCCAUUCCCCAUUUUACAGCUGGGGAAACUGAGUUACAGAGCUUGUCUGCACUGAGUCAUCAGGAGCAAAUGCUAGAUCAGAUAGGGUCUCUCUCUCUGCCACCCAGGCCAGAGUGCAGUUGACGCAGGGCAGGGGAGCCCCGAAGUGGAGCAUAGUGUGUCCGGAACUGGUGGGUUCUUGGUCUCACUGACUUCAAGAAAGAAGCCGCGGACCCUCGCGAAUGAUGGCAGCAGCCCAUAUGGGUGGCCCGCCCAUGAUGCCAAAGAUGGGCCCUCCUCCUCCUGGGAUGAUGCCAGUGGGACCUGCUCUUGGAAUGAGGCCGCCCAUGGGAGGCCACAUGCCUGUGAUGCCUGGGUGCCCAAUGAUAAGACCUCCUGCCCGUCUCAUGAUGGUGCCCAGUCAGCCCAGAAUGACUUGACCAGACAGAUAAGGAUAGAGGGGAGGCCUCAUUGCAUCAGUGUUGUUUUGUUGUUGUUAUUGUUGUGUUUUUUUUGUUUGUAAUGUUUUGUUUUGUUUUUGAGACAGAGUCUUCCUCUGUCGCCUAGGCUGGAGGGCAGUGGCAUGAUCUCAGCUCACUGAAACCUCCACCUCCCGGGUUCAAGCGAUUCCCCUGCCUCAGCCUCCUGAGUAGUGUGGGACUACAGGCGUAUUCACCAUGCCCGGCUAAUUUUUUUUAUUUUAGUAGAAACGGGGUUUCACCAUGUUGGCCAGGAUGGUCUCAAUCUCCUGACCUCGUGACUCGCUCGCCUCAGCCUCUGAAAGUGCUGGGAUUACAGGUGUGAGCCACUGCGCCUGGCCUAUAUGAAUUUUAUAUUUACCUGCUCCCUUCACCAGGAGAUCAUGCUGCUGUGAUGUCGAGUUUUCUUAACAGCAUAAGGAAGACUUGCCCUCUUGCCCUAUCAAAGAGAAUAGUUUUGGAGGGGAGAAGUGGGACCAAAAAAGAUGCAGUUUUCAUUUGUAUUGGGAAAUGUGAAAAUAAAAUUGACAACUCUUUUAGUUAAAAACAAAAAAAAGAAAAGGAAACAAGAUGUGGGGCUGCCAUAUGUAAUACCGUGGAUUCCACGGAUCUUCUACUCUGGAGGCAAAUAUUAUCUUUGCUGAAGCCAGACCAACCUGACACAAAGACCUUUUGUUUUUUUAAUGUGACUGUGUUUUAUUUUAGAAUGUGUAAUUCACUUUAGAAGGGCAAAGUACCUGUCUGGGGAAGACUAUUUAAUUUCCUGCAUUUAUUUAGAAUGUUGGCUGAUGUUAUUAUGAAGGGAAACAGCUCUAACAACUGAGUGCCCCCCACAUAGCCACAGCUCAUGAGUUCACGGGGCAAAGGAAAUGAACAGCAGCCUCCUAAUAGCCAGCCUUCUUUGUGAUGUGGAAAUAAUUAUCAGCAUGUAAAAGACUAUAUAUAUAUUCAACAAUUCUGAUCCCCUGAAAAAUUCAAAUCUACAACUGAUUUGCUUCCUGGGCUCCUGAAAACAACUUUGUCAAAAUUGUUCAGAAAUAUAAUCAGCCAAUCGUUGCCCCUUGGGGACGCAGGAUAAAGCAAGUCAGCCAUGACCAAUGAGGAGUCGGCCGUGCACAAUUACAUGCAGACCUGCAGGACAUCGAGUCCCUGCUAUGGUCCCUCCCCAGUCAGACCCCCAUUGCCUGGGCUGCAGCCAGAAGCAUUCAGGCACAAGUGCAUUCAACAAAUACUUAUUUAAUUGUAUUGGUGGUUAGAGGGUUGCGAUUGAUUAAGGCACAUUAAUGGAUCCGUGUCCUCCCUGUAUCCAAGAUUCUGCCAUUUGUCUCUGCAGUUCCUCCCACUGAAGAAUCGGAGUAUAUUUCUCCAGUCCCUAAUGUUGGGUUUAGUCAUGUGUCUAGCUUUGGCCACUGGAAUAUUAAUCUGUAUGACCAAAAACUUGGAAAGUGUGAAUUCAUUUCUGCUCACUCACUCCUGCUAUCACCAUGAGAACAAGCCCAGGCCAGACUGCUGCUUCCAGCAGAAGAGACAGCAAGAGCAACGUCGAGCUUCCCAGACAUGCUCAUGCUAGAUUGACCAAUCCUCAGCUGACCCAUAGAUCCAUGAAAAUAAACGAUUGUUGUAUUAAGCCACUGAGAUUUGGAGUGACUUGUUAUGCAGCAUUUUGUGACAACAACUAACUGACACAAGAGUCACCGUCCUUUAUCUCUGUAGAUUUUAACCAAUUUUAAUAGCUAGAUGGAGAUCUUCUAGUUGCCUUUAUUUAUAAUGAAUAUGACUGUAGAGCUAGUUUGGCCUGACACUACCAGUAACCUACCCAGAAAUUCAGAAAUACUUUCUUCUCCAACCCGCCCAAACCAACUUUUUGUUUGUUUGUUUUUGGGUUCUCCCUCUUUGCCUAGGCUAGAGUACAAAUGGUACAGUCAGAGCUCACUGUAGCCUCAAAAUACUGGGCUCAAGUGAUCUUCCCCUUCAGCCUCCUAUGUAGCUAAGACUACAGACAUGUGCCACCAUGCCUGGCUAAUUUUUUUAUUCUUUGCAGACAGAGGGUCUCACUAUAUUGCCCAAGUUGGUUUCAAACUCCUGGCUUCAAGCAGUCCUCCUGCCUCACCCUUCCAAAGUGCUAGGAUUAUAGGCAUGAGCCACCACACCCAGCCUCUUCUUCUUUUUAAAUAGAAACCUUAUUUUAUUCUGACAGUGGGUUGCUUUUUUUUUUUUUUUUUAAAGAAAAAGUUGGCCCAGCCCCAGGGAAUAAAUUUUGACUGCUCUAAACAACCAUAGACCAAGGGCCAAAUCUGGCCCUCUGACUGUAUAAAUUAAGUUUUACUGGAAUAAAACCAGGUCCAUUGAUUUAUCCAUUGUCUACAUACGCUUUUAGGCUACGAUGGCACCACUGUGUCACUACAAAAGAGGUUAUCUAGACAAAAAGCCUAAAAUAUUACCGUUUGCCUCUUUAUGGAAAAAGUUUGCCAUUCCCUAGUCUAAGGUUUAGAUUCUGAGCUUAUCAUGUUAUCCUACCCCCCCUCACCAGUGACUGGCUCAAAACAAGUCUGUGAUUCCAUUCUGACUGUUCUACUGAGGGAAUUCCGCCUUCUUCUCAUGCAGAGCUGAUGAGGGUAAGUUGUAUUAAUAGGACAUAUGCUCAGGUUUUCUGAAAAAUACUUUUAUCUAGAAAUGCAUAGGAAUAUGCUGGUGCCUGAAUGUACCAUCCGGGGACCUGGAGAUUGACUCACCUGCCUCCAGAGCUGGUGCUCACACUUACUACUGAGAGGCCUGAGGAAACGCCUGCCUACCCACCACCAGAACCUGUAUAGGUCACCUGGAGAACUAGAGAUCAGCCUGCCACACACACCACCCAGGAGCCCAGUGGUGCACCUGCCCAUCUGGCCCACUGCCAGCAACCAAAGAAGCCACCUGGAGUCCCAGGGAUUGGCCCACACAGACAGGCUAUCAUCAGUGCCCACAAACGCUGCCCAUGGUCCCUAGUAUUGACACACCUGGUCCACCGCCACUACCACUGAUGCUGAAGGACAAGACUUCCUGGCAUCCCCAUCCUCAGCAAAGCCUCACCAAAGCCUCCAAUAACAACUGCAGUCUGGCCAAGUGUGGUGGCUCACGCCUGUAAUCCCAGCACUUUGAGAUGCCGAGGCGUGUAGAUCACGAGGUCAGGAGUUCGAGAGCAGCCUGGCCAACAUGGUGAAACCCCGUCUCUACUAAAAAUACAAAAUUUAGCUGGGCAUGGUUGCACGUGCCUAUAGUCCCAGCUACUCAGGAGGCUGAGGCAGGAGAAUUGGUUGAACACGGGAGGCAGAGGAUACAGUGAGCUGAGAUUGUGCCACUGCACUCCAGCCUGGUGACAGAGCUAGACUCCAUCUCAACAACCACCAAAAAAAACCACUGCAGUCUAAGCCACUGAAUGACUCACAGGCACCACCCAUGCCAAUUACAGCUGAAGGAAUCAUAUGCAAACUAUACUACUGUACCCACCCAGAAUCAAAGCCAAAGUGUGAUAUCCAAUGAACACUGUAGAUACAGCUGUAAGAAAAGGUCUUUCCCAUAUAAAAGCCAAUCCAUAAAAUUGGAAGAAAUGACUGUUAUGUCAGAGGCACAGAUAGUCACAUAAGGAUGCAAGAAAUAUGAAAAAGGAAACAUAACAUCUCAAAGAAGCACAAUAAUUCUCCAGCAACAGAUCCAAUGAAAAGAAAAUCUAUGAAAUACCUGAAAAAAAUUCAGAAUGAUGUUAUUAAAGAAACUCAGGGAGAUACAAGAGAACACAGAUAAUGAAUACAAAAAAAAAAAACAAAAACAGGAAAACUAUUCAUGAUCUGAAUGACAAAUUCAACAGAGAUAGACAGCAUAACAAAGAACCAAACACAAAUCCUGGAAGAGAAUAAAUCAUUGAAAUAAAUACAAAAGAUAAUUGACAGCUUUAACAAUAGACUAGAUCAAGCAAAACAAAGAAUUUCUGAACCUGAAGACUAGUCUUUUAAAAUAAUCCAGUCAGACAAAAAGAAAGAAAAAAGAAUGAAGCAAGGCUACAUGACAUAUGGGACACAUAUGUGACCAAAAACUGAAAUUCUGGGAGUUCUGGAUGGAGAUGAGAUGGGUAAAGGCAUAGAAAACCUAUUUAAUGAACUAAUAACUGAAAACUUCCUGAAUGCUUCCAAAUGCAGGAAGCUCAAAGAUUACCAAGUAAAUACAACUCAAAAUGGUCUUCUCCAAGGCACAAUAUGGUAAAAUUGUCAAAAGACAAAGAGAAAAUGCUAAAAACAGCAAGAGAAAGGCAUCAAGUCACUUAUAAGAGAAUCUCCAUCAGGCUAACGGGGAAUUUCUCAGCAGAAACCUUACUGGCUAGGAGAAAAGGGGAUGUAUAUUACAAGUACAAAAAAAAAAAAUAAUAAAAAAAUGUAAGCCAAAAAUACUCUACCCAGCAAAGCUAUCCUUCACAAAUGAAGGAGCCUGGCACAGUGGCUCACAUCUGCAAUUCCAGAGACUCAAGGCUGAGGCAGGAGGACCAUUUGAUCCCAGGAGUUCAAGGCUGCAGUGAGCUAUGAUCAUGCCACUGUACUCCAGCCUGGGUGACAGAGUGAGACUCCAUUGCUAAAAAAAAAAAUAGUAAUAAUAAAAGGGAAAAAAGUAUUUCCCAGAUAAGCAAAAGACUGUUUGUUUGUGUCUUGUUUGUUGUGGUCCUAUAAGAAAUGUUUAAGGGAGUCCUACAUUGGGAAGUGAAAGAACAAUAUCUACCAUCAUGAAAAUACAUGAAAGUAUAAAACUCACUGGUAGUUCAGACACACAAAGAAGAAAGGAUUCAAACAUCACCACUAAAGAAAACCACCAAACUGCAACCAUAAAUAAUGAGAGAAAAAAGGAACAAAGGUGUAUUAGUCUGUUUUCACACUGCUGAUAAAGACAUACCUGACUGAGACUGAGCAAUUUACAAAAGAAAGAGGUUUAAUGGACUUACACUUCCACAUAGCUGAGGAAGCCUAAGAAUCACGUUGGAAGGCAAGAAGAAGCAAGUCAUGUCUCACAUGGAUGGCAGCAAUCAAAGAUAGAGCUUCUGCAGAGAAACUACCCUUUUCAAAACCAUCAGACCUUGUGAGACUUAUUCACUAUCAUGAGAACAGCAUGGGAAAGACCUGCCCCCAUGACUCAAUUACUUCCCACCAGGUCCCUCCCACAACAUGUGGGAAUUCAAGAUGAGACUUGGGUGGGGACACAACCAAACCAUAUCAUUCUGCCCCUGGCCCUUCCCAAAUCUCAUAUCCUCACAUUUUGAAACCAAUCAUGCCUUCCCAACAGUCCCCCAAAGUCUUAACUAAGUUCAGCAUUAACUCAAAAGUCCACAGUCCAAAGUCUCAUUUGAGACAAGGCAA